UACGUAGGGUGCGAGCGUUGUCCGGAUUUAUUGGGCGUAAAGAGCUCGUAGGCGGCUCGUUGCGUCAAUCGUGAAAACCUACUGCUUAACGGUGGGCUUGCGGUUGAUACGGGCGGGCUGGAGUUCGGUAGGGGAGACUGGAAUUCCCGGUGUAGAGGUGAAAUUCGUAGAUAUCGGGAGGAACACCGGUGGCGAAGGCGGCGAUCUGGGUCGAUACUGACGCUGAGGUGCGAAAAGCGUGGGGGAGCAAACAGG
rnacentral:rRNA from 1 species